GAAGCACUGUUUAAGACUAAUGUUUGUAGUGAAGUCACAGUGAGAGCAUGUUCUUUCUGAUGCAAACACACCCACCUCCUGCCCUCGUGUCCUGCAGGCUGACCUGAGAGCCAGCUGCAUAGCUCAAGCCACAAAGGAACCUAGUUUUUGGAAAGGGUUCAAUGUUUAUGUGGCAGUGCUGAGAACUCUGAAUAUGUUUCCAUCAUAUUCAAAGUAUUGCUACUCUCUGGAUACCUCAGGGUAAUUUCUGACAUUAUGACAAAUAUAAAAACCUGAACGGCUGAACUUCUCUCCCUCCGCUGGCUUCCAUGAUGCACCUGCUCCCUAGUUUUCUUCUGGCCUCUGUGGCUGCUUCACUUCAUUAUCCUUG